rnacentral:rRNA from 1 species
AUUGAACGCUGGCGGCAGGCCUAACACAUGCAAGUCGAACGAGUGGCGGACGGGUGAGUAAUGUCUGGGAAACUGCCCGAUGGAGGGGGAUAACUACUGGAAACGGUAGCUAAUACCGCAUACCAUCGGAUGAGCCCAGAUGGGAUUAGCUAGUGGGUGGGGUAACGGCUCACCAAGGCGACGAUCCCUAGCUGGUCUGAGAGGAUGACCAGCCACACUGGGACUGAGACACGGUCCAGACUCCUACGGGAGGCAGCAGUGGGGAAUCUUGGACAAUGGGCGCAAGCCUGAUGCAGCCAUGCCGCGUGUAUGAAGAAGGCCUUCGGGUUGUAAAGUACUUUCAGCGGGGAAGCGUUAUUCGCAGAAGAAGCAUCGGCUAACUCCGUGCCAGCAGCCGCGGUAAUUC